rnacentral:tRNA from 1 species
CCUUCGAUAGCUCAGUUGGUACAGCGGUGGACUGUAGUGAGACAUCAAAAUGCAAUAUAGAUAUCCAUAGGUCGCUGGUUCAAAUCCGGCUCGAAGGA